AACGAACGCUGGCGGCAGGCCUAACACAUGCAAGUCGAACGCUCCAGCAAUGGAGAGUGGCAGACGGGUGAGUAACGCGUGGGAACCUUCCCUAUGGUUCGGAAUAGCCCAGGGAAACUUGGGGUAAUACCGAAUAAGUCCUUCGGGGGACAGAUUUAUCGCCAUUGGAUGGGCCCGCGUCGGAUUAGAUAGUUGGUGGGGUAACGGCCUACCAAGGCGACGAUCCGUAGCUGGUCUGAGAGGAUGAUCAGCCACACUGGGACUGAGACACGGCCCAGACUCCUACGGGAGGCAGCAGUGGGGAAUAUUGGACAAUGGGCGCAAGCCUGAUCCAGCCAUGCCGCGUGAGUGACGAAGGCCUUAGGGUUGUAAAGCUCUUUUGGCGGGGAAGAUAAUGACGGUACCCGCAGAAUAAGCUCCGGCUAACUUCGUGCCAGCCGCCGCCGUAAGAC
rnacentral:rRNA from 1 species